UGAUGCCCCGCGCGGUGAAGAUGAGCAAAUGGAACACGGAGCGGAGCAGCCGCGGUGACAGCUGAGUUUCCUGACAGAGACACUGAAGCGACCACGGACCCGCUCAGGUGAAACCAACAUGACACACUCGGGACAGGACAGAAGCCGGCCGGUAAAGCAGCACUAGCGGAGAUCGUUUAAUUUAAUGGGAAUACACUAAACCAGACAGUUCCCUCUCCUGCACAGAUCAUCACAUGCUAACUACUGCAGGCUCACAUCACACUCUCCAACAAGUUUGAACCUGAUGCCCUGAGAGCCUGUCUUAUCUCCCUGAGC